GUUCGCAAACGUGGAACUCGGUCGGUCGAUCAGAGUUUAAAACGAAGCGAAAAUCGAGAUGAGAUCACUUCCAAACUUGGCCACGCUCGAUGCCAAUUAUUAUCGCUUUACAUAUGCUCGACCGAAGUCGAUAGCAGGUGAUUGCAAUUGCGUGCACGCGGCAUACGUCACUUGGUAUUCCGUUGCCUCUUAUUAGCCAAAUGCAAGAACAGAUAUAUUCAUACUCGUUUCAUCGAGGUAUUACUCGAUUGAGUUAAUAACUGUUUACUGCCGUGGAGUUUGAAAUUGUCGUGCUGUGAACGUAACUUGCCUCGGGGAUUGCGGCGCUCGAAAGUGCUCCGAGCAAGAAAAUCAUUAUGCGGCUGGUUCCUGCAUCAGGCUAAACGUUCACCAGCCCGCGAACGGAAAUAUUUACGGUGUGUCGCGAAUGUCGCAAUGAAAACGAAAUCACGGUGUUUCGUUUAAGUGCUGUCGGUGGAAGAAGCGAGGCUGUACAAUUGAUUCAAAUUUACGUCAUUUAAGACAGACAGAAAGUAUUCUGACACUUAUAGAAACCUUCCAUAAUAUUUUUAGACUGAUUUCACAUUUGAUCGAUAUCAUCACGAUGGUCAUGCGUCAUUACGACGUUAAUGAAAUUUCAGAAAGUUUCGUAUAAUAUUCGUAAAAAUUUUACAUGAUAUAUCAUGUAUAUAGUAAAAUAUAUUAUUGCCAUGUUUUUUAAUAGAUAAUUUAAAUUUAUAAUUUAGUAAUUGCAUAAAAAGAUAGUUAACGUUGUUUCUAGCUACUAAUUGAUCAUUAGUUUAGACACUUGGGUCCAAUUCACGUACUAUAAAUUCAGCCAAGUGUUCGAAUAUGUUCAAGUACAUGCUACAUUAACCAGAUGACGAAAUAAACGAUUAGUCGAAACGUCCAAACAGUUGUUCGUUUUCAUUAGGAAAUGUUAUUUAGCAACGAGUUGGACUACGUGUCGUGAGAUAAAGUAAAUCGUACAUCGCCUCGUGCAAGCCGUUCGACGUUGUUAUUGGUGUUAAUUGAAACGCAAGCAAGAUUUAUCGGCAAAGACGUAAAUGUUUUUGACGCGUUCCGUGAUUGCAGAGGACGCUGUGUAACGUGGUACUAUAAUUAGUCGUGAGGAGAGACACUGUGUGAAACACAGAUACAAUUCUUUUUUUCAUAUUUUUUAACACUACAGCUGUCCUUCAUGACAGAACAGCCUUUUGCAUGUACGUCGAAGAAUAUCGAUAACAUAAAAUGGAACAAGCACGUUACUGUAAACCAGCGCAUAUCGUCUUACGAAAGAAGAAUCGUUAUGAAACAUCAUUGACCCUGUAUCAAGAAGCAUUCUCCUCGCUCUCUAUGUUUCUCUCGGUGGUUCUGCUGGAUCGCUGGGUUGCGUCAACUUUAUUUUUAACCGAAUAACGCGCGAGAACCUGCGACCUUCGCCUGGUUUGGAAGUGAAAGUACUCGACGAACUUCUUCCGCGACUGUCUUUGUAUUUAUUUUAUUUCCCUUGAAACAUCGGUAACUCGAUUAUAUCAUUCGCUACACUAUGCUGAACUCACGCGUUCUACCGAUAUUUAUUUACAGCCAAUAAAAUUCUUUUCCUAUU